CUUCUCUUUCUUCAACUCCACCAUCACUUUCUCCCUUAUGGAAUUUUCUUCCUCCAAAUCGUGGCUUCCACCAUAACCAAUUGGAUCUUAAGCUCUUUUCCCUAUCUCGUCCCAUGUUUCUUCCUUUUGUCCUUCCUUCACAUAAAGUUUCUUCCCUUUUUCCUUUCCCAUAACCAAAUUUAAGGAGAAUUGGUGGUUUGGUUCAAGAUUUCCAAGGGAAAGUAUAGUCAGUAACGUUGUUGAGAAGGUGUGCUGAAGGAAGUAACAACAGAUUGGCAAGUAGAAUUAGCUAAAUACGCAUUUGAACUAAUAGCGACAUAGUGUCCCGCUAUUGUAAGAUAAGUAAUCAAUUAUAGAGUUUUGCUCAGCAUCGCGAGGUUGGCUACGGCCUAGGUAAUGGUGUCUCUAGAUUUCCACUCAGAGUCGCUCCGCUGCCUAGAGGUUUACUCGUAAGUCUCGGACGCCGGUAACGAUCGAGGGAAGAGGUCGUUACAUCCUCUUUGUGUCUGCUUCUCAAAAUUGGCCAAAUCAAUGGCAAAUUCUUAAACCGUUACAGAUAUUGAAUAUCGAUUGCUCUUCAGUAUGAGUCUACAUGUUGAGUUUAGCUAAAUAAUGUAUUUAGCAAAGAGACAUGAAAGAUUGUACAUUUUAAAAUAUAUAUAUUUGUAAACUCCAUGUAUGUAUGUAUAUAUAAUUAUUAGCAAUAAUCUUGAUUAGCCUUAUGAGGAAUAAUUUGU